GGUUGCCUCUCCCCACUCAGUAAGGGCCCCACACUUUUCCUGACCUCCUCCUUGUUGCUAACAUACCUGUAGAAACCCUUCUUAAACUUAACAUCCCUU